GUUUCAUCCUGAUAAACUGGACAUAAUUGCACCCAACAAAACAUUUAAAUCUAUUGUACUUUGUAACAAAUGUCCCAAAAGGUUCUCUAAAUAUUCCAAUUUAAAAAGGCAUGUCACUAAGUUUCAUCCAGGUGAGGACAAAACUUCUAUUUAGUGCUUUUUGGCUAUUAUUGUAUCCGCUGGGAGCGUUAACUUUGACACAUGGUCACGUGGUACACUGUGGCUGUUUGUGGGACGAUCUUAUGUGUAUUCCUUAUGGGUGAAUUCCAAAAACAAGAGAUUAUUUAAAAUAUUACUAUUAAUUUUGUACAAUUGUAUCAGUACAUCAUAAGAAAUUUUAUAUAAAUACUAUAUAUAGUAGAAAUUGUCUGAUAUAAUACAUAAAUAUAAUUUCGAUAUACAAACUUACGAAGAGAUUUUUAGGUUAACAGUAACAGCCGUAAUGUGAGGUUACGACUGUCAAGGACUUCGUAAAUGGAAACAAAAGUUGCAAAGCCAGAAUUUGCUCAAUCUCAAAGCCUUUUUAAUUCCUAUAAAGUUGAAAUGUUGCUUCCUCUGCAGCUUUUUCUGCUUAAGUAUAGUGUUUUUAACAUAAUACCACCAUAAUUCGGUCUUAAAUUUCUAUGAAAUAUAGUUUUUUAGUGAUAUUCACCAAGCAAAGUUUACAAACUGGUGAACUAUUCUAUUUUGUAUAAUAAAAAUGGUAAUGUGCUUUGUCCCGGAUUGUACAAAAUAUUGUGAAAGAGGGAUAUGUAGAUUCUUUGUUGUUCCAAAAGAUCUGGUUGCAAAGAAGAAUUUCAUUACUAAGGUAAGAAAAUAUAGUGAAGAGGAAGAAUUGAAUUUAUCAUUUUAUAUGAUUCACACACGGAAAGAAUCUGUCUAUUCUUUGUUGGUUUGCUCUUGCCACUUUGUGAAUUCUGACCAACAAUUUUUGUGCACAACAAAGCCAAAGGUUUUUUGACAGACAAUCAACUUUUACAUCCAAAUUAAAUGAGUAAAGUAAGUCAUUUUACUUGAAUAUCUGUGUUGAAAUAUCUGUUACAAUGCUGUAGAGGGCAAAUCUACUUUAUAGAAUUUAUUUUCAAGGACCCAUUCUGCAUAUAGAGGUCCUCUCAUUUCGCUGAGUUGAUUUUCAUUUUAGUAUGAUAAUAUAUUUGUUGGUCCAUUUAUAUUUUCUUUGUCCGCCUAGUUCAUAAAUUCUCAAUUUUAUGAUGUAGAUAGUGAUGCCCGAUUGAAAUUCCAAAAUUUAUUUCCAUUAUCUCAAAUAUACUAAAUUUACAAUUAAGAUGCAGUAAAAUUAAACAAACCAAGACACGUUAAAUGCUGCUAAUAAGAGCACUCCUGAAUCAUAAUUUACAAUGUAUAUACACUGUAAAUCCCAAAUCAUUAUUUCCAAAGUUUAUACAUUGUAAAUUAUAAUUCACAAGUGCUCCUUGUAGCAUUUAACGUGUCUUGGUUUGUUUAUUUUUACUGCAUCUUGAUUGUAAAUUUAGUAUAGUAUUUAUUGAGAAAAUACUAUUUUAGCUUGCCAUUUUCAUUAUAAAUUAUUUCCAGUAAAACAGUCAUUCUCUUUAGAUAUUUUAUUCCAAAACAUAUUUAUUAAGUGCUUAAUUUUUUGUAAUUUUGUCUUAAUAGAAAUACCUACUUCUUUAUCUGUUAAUAUUGACCUUCAGGUAAUUUCUUUUGCUCAUAUAAAUACGAUGUUAUGUGCUGGUCUCACUCAGGUUCAUUUGUAUAGGCUCUGCCAAGUGAAACCUAAACAAACCUAGUUGGUAAGUAGGUUUUCUGAUUUUAUUGCUUAAUUCUCUGUUCACAUUUUUGUUAAUUGACUAACUCAUUUGCAUAAUACAGUAGAACCCCGAGUAUCUGUGUAUGGAUUAUCCGGGCUGCGGAUUAUCUGUGCUAUGAUUUUUUAUUACAAAAAUUGUAUUUUUGAGUUUUUAUCAAAAUAUUGUCACUGUAAAUCACUCAACAGAACCUCUAUACGCGGAGAAAAUUACUCAUAAUGAAAGAUUUAUUUUUUCUGUUAUCUUUUUAUGGUAGUUACAUAUAUACUCGUACAUACAUAUGUAUCUAUUCUACAUAAGUAAUGCAUGUUCGGAUUAUCCGUGCUUUUCAAUUAUCCGUGCCGAGGUCUGGUCCCGAGGAGCACGGAUAAUCGGGGUUCUACUGUAUAUUUGUUUGAUUAUUUCAUUCAUAGGAGAUUCUGACCAAUAGAAAACUACAGAAAUUUGAAUUAAAUUGAUAAUUUUUGAUAAUUGCCCGUUGUUAAGUAUAUUACGUCAGAGAUGCCCUUCGUUGCUACGGACAUUAAUGACAAUUAAUGGUUUAAAAAUUAUAGAUAGAUAGAUAAAAGUUAUAACUUUCAAUCGUCAAAUAUUCAUAAAAACUUUGUGUUUAAUUGUACUAAUUUGUACUUACAUAAAUAAAUUACAAUAAAAUUUUGGUUUUGAACAGUUUUAUUCAUGAAAUAAUCGCAACAAAUUGCACUCGAACUCUAAAAUUAAUAUAGAAUUUUUGCCCUUGUGACACAAUUUCACUCGCCUUUGGCUUGUGAAAUUAAAACUGUCAAAGUGUCACUCGGGAAAAAUUCAAUAAUUUUAGAGCUUUUGUGCAAUUACUACUGAUAAUUUCAUUUAUCCAAUUAGGCACCCAGGAGAAGGGCAUGGCCCUAUUUCAAAUAUGAGUAUUAUAGAAAAUUAACAGUUCCCCAGGCAACCAUCCAAUGAGAAUCGUAGAAAAAGUAACAGUUCCCUACGCAACUAUCCAAUGAAAAUCUUAAGGCCAUAAUGAAUUGUAUCACCCGAAUGUCAUUCUCUAGGGGUGAGCAAGUCUCUCAGGCUGGGUUAAUUCACCAUUGCCUACUUGCAAGAGCAAUUGUCAACAUUUCUACAGUUCCACAGGUGACCAUAUUGUCUCUUUUUGGACAUACCAUCUGACACCCUCUGAAGAAGAUCUUGGGGUGUAAAUAACCCAGGACAGCACCGGAAGAAGCCGUCAGACCACAAGCUAAAUUUCUUAUUAAAAUCUAUAGCUUGCCUAUAAACAGAGACAAACUAUUUUUAUAUAAAAUAACUUUAUUAGUUCUAAAAUGUAGAUCUUGAAUUGUGACCAUAAUAAAAUGAGAAAAUAAAGUGUUUAUACCGAA